rnacentral:rRNA from 1 species
AUGCUUGAAUCGAUGGGUAAGGACAUAUCAUCAUUCCCUCUCCCAGAAAUUGACGAGUCAUAUGAUGCCUCAGAUAAUGAGGCUAGGGAGAUCAUAGAGGAGUCCACGAUAGAGGUGGACCCAGAACACCUUGGCUUGCCAUCUUUCCUAAACCCAGAACAGAGAUAUGCAUAUGAUGAGAUACUUGCGACCAUCAAUAGUGGCCAAGGAGGUGUGUUCUUUGUUGAUGGACCCGGAGGCACGGGAAAGACUUAUCUGUACAAAGCACUACUUGCAAAAAUAGCUGUUGCAACAGCGACAUCAGGCGUUGCUGCAUCCAUCUUGCCUGGAGGGAGGACUGCACACUCAAGGUUUAAAAUACCAUUGAACACCGAAGACGGUGGGGUCUGCAGUUUCACCAAGCAAAGUGGGACAGCUAAGCUUCUUAUGAGGGCGUCCCUCAUAAUUUGGGACGAGGCCUCCAUGACAAAGCGGCAGGCGGUCGAGGCCCUUGACAAUAGCAUGAGGGACAUCAUGGCUCGACCUGACUUGCCGUUUGGUGGAAAGACAAUUGUGUUUGGGGGAGACUUCAGACAAGUACUUCCUGUUGUUCGUAAGGGAACAAGGUCCCAAAUAACUGACGCGACGCUACGUAAGUCUUACCUUUGGGAGAAUAUGAGACAACUAAGACUUGUCCGUAAUAUGAGGGCUCAAAGCGAUCCAUGGUUUGCUGAUUACCUUCUCAGUGUUGGGAAUGGCACUGAAGAUACCGUGGAUGAUGAUUACAUACGGCUUCCAGAUGAGAUUUGUGUACCAUACACCAGCGACGCCACUGAUAUUGAUAAGCUUAUUGAAAGUGUUUUCCAGAUGACCCUAGAAGAAAACCUCUUGGAUCCAAAUUACAUAACGUCCCGAGCAAUUUUGUCAACUCGGAAUGAGUACGUUGACAAGAUUAACAUGAAAAUGAUUGAGAGGUUUCCUGGGGAGGAGAUGAUAUACUACAGUUUUGAUCACGCGGAGGAUGAUCCACACAACUACUACCCUGCAGAAUUCUUGAAUUCAUUAACACCUAAUGGGCUACCUCCCCAUAUCCUAAAGCUGAAAAUUAAUUGCCCUAUUAUAUUGUUACGCAACAUUGACCCAGCGAGUGGUUUGUGCAAUGGGACGAGGUUGAUUGUCCGAGGAUUCAUGAGGAAUGCAAUCGAUGCUGAGAUUGUGUUGGGCCAGCAUGCUGGUAAGAGGGUGUUCCUUCCUCGAAUUCCUCUUUGCCCAUCAGAUGAUGAGAUGUUUCCAUUUAGGUUCAAGAGGAAGCAGUUUCCAGUUAGACUUAGCUUUGCUAUGACCAUUAACAAGGCACAAGGACAAACUAUACCAAAUGUUGGUGUAUACCUCCCUGAACCGGUAUUUUCACACGGGCAGCUCUAUGUUGCUCUUUCUAGAGCUACAUCUAGAAGUAAUAUGAAGAUUCUUACUGUACCGGAUGAAAAAAAGGAAGGCCAGUCCAACUCCACUGCAAAUAUUACAAAGAACAUAGUCUACAAAGAAGUUCUCAGCAUGUAG